rnacentral:rRNA from 1 species
GUAACACGUGAAUAACCUGCCCUCAAUUUCGGAAUAACCCAGGGAAACCUGGGCUAAUACCGGAUACGUAAACCUGUGGCAUCACAUGGUUUUGGAAAGUUUUUCGAUUGAGGAUGGAUUCGCGGCCUAUCAGCUUGUUGGUGAGGUAAUGGCUCACCAAGGCGACGACGGGUAGCCGGCCUGAGAGGGUGAACGGCCACACUGGGACUGAGACACGGCCCAGACUCCUACGGGAGGCAGCAGUGGGGAAUAUUGCGCAAUGGACGAAAGUCUGACGCAGCGACGCCUCGUGAGGGACGAAGGUCUUCGGAUUGUAAACCUCUUUCAGCAGGGACGAAGCGAAAGUGACGGUACCUGCAGAAGAAGCACCGGCUAACUAUGUGCCAGCAGCCGCGGUAAUACAUAGGGUGCAAGCGUUGUCCGGAUUUAUUGGGCGUAAAGAGUUCGUAGGCGGUUUUUCGCGUCGGAUGUGAAAACUCAGGGCUCAACCCUGAGCCUGCAUUCGAUACGGGAAGACUCGAGGACGGCAGGGGAGACUGGAACUUCUGGUGUAGCGGUGGAAUGCGCAGAUAUCAGAAAGAACACCAAUGGCGAAGGCAGGUCUCUGGGCCGAUCCUGACGCUGAGGAA